rnacentral:rRNA from 1 species
UACGUAGGGUGCGAGCGUUGUCCGGAAUUAUUGGGCGUAAAGAGCUCGUAGGCGGCUUGUCGCGUCGGAUGUGAAAGCCCCGGGCUUAACCUGGGAAUGGCAUUUGGGACUGCAAGGCUUGAGUGCGGCAGAGGAGACUGGAAUUCCUGGUGUAGCAGUGAAAUGCGUAGAUAUCAGGAGGAAUACCGAUGGCGAAGGCAGGUCUCUGGGCUGACACUGACGCUCAUGCACGAAAGCGUGGGGAGCAAACAGG